rnacentral:rRNA from 1 species
GCUAAACCCUAAACAUUGAUAGCUUAAAUACAACGCUUUCCGCCAGAGAACUACAAGUGAAAAACUUUAAACUCAAAGGACUUGGCGGUAUCCCACACCGGCCUAGAGGAGCCUGUCCUAUAAUCGAUACUCCCCGUUCCACCCAACCUCAAUUAGCCAAAACAGCCUAUAUACCGCCGUCAACAGUCUACCCCAUGAGGGAUCAACAGUAGACACAACAGCAAUAUGCCGCUAAUACGUCAGGUCAAGGUGUAGCAAAUAUUGAGGCAGAGAUUGGCUACAUUUUUUAUAUUAAAAAAAACGGAAUGCAUAAUGAAACCCUGCAUGAAGGUGAAUUUAGUAGUAAAAUAAAUAAGAGAAUUUAUUUUAACAUCGCUCUGGGAUGCGCACACACCGCCCGUCACCCUCCUCAACAAAUAUUUUCCUUUUUAUAAAUCACUUAAAUUAUACUAGAGGAGGC